rfam:Lupinus angustifolius cultivar Tanjil contig_23389, whole genome shotgun sequence.
AGGUGCGAUCAUACCAGCACUAAUGCACCGGAUCCCAUCAGAACUCCGCAGUCAAGCGUGCUUGGGCUAGAGUAGUACGAGGAUGGGUGACCUCUUGGGAAGUCCUCGUGUUGCACCUC